GCCGGCGUGGCGCAAUGGUAGCGCGUAGCUUUCCUACGGUGUUGGUUAGGCUGAAGUUGCGGGUUCGAUCCCCGUCGUCGGUU
rnacentral:tRNA from 1 species